GACGAACGCUGGCGGCGUGCUUAACACAUGCAAGUCGUACGGUAAGGCCCUUUCGGGGGUACACGAGUGGCGAACGGGUGGGUAACACGUGAGUAACCUGCCCACAACUUUGGGAUAACGCUAGGAAACUGGUGCUAAUACUGGAUAUGUGCUCCUGCUGCAUGGUGGGGGUUGGAAAGCUCCGGCGGUUGUGGAUGGACUCGCGGCCUAUCAGCUUGUUGGUGGGGUGGUGGCCUACCAAGGCGGCGACGGGUAGCCGGCCUGGGAGGGUGACCGGCCACAGUGGGACUGAGAUACGGCCCAGACUCCUACGGGAGGCAGCAGUGGGGAAUAUUGCACAAUGGGCGCAAGCCUGAUGCAGCAACGCCGCGUGCGGGAUGACGGCCUUCGGGUUGGAAACCGCUUUCAGCAGGGACGAAGCUUUUUGUGACGGUACCUGCAGAAGAAGCACCGGCUAACUACGUG
rnacentral:rRNA from 1 species